rnacentral:rRNA from 1 species
CGGACGGGUGAGUAAUGUAUAGGAACUUGCCUAGUAGUGGGGGACAACGUGUGGAAACGCACGCUAAUACCGCAUACGCUCUACGGAGGAAAGCGGGGGAUCUUCGGACCUCGUGCUACUAGAUGGGCCUAUAUUGGAUUAGCUAGUUGGUAAGGUAAAGGCUUACCAAGGCGACGAUCCAUAGCUGGUUUGAGAGAGUGAUCAGCCACACUGGGACUGAGACACGGCCCAG